rnacentral:rRNA from 1 species
UACAGAGGAGGCAAGCGUUGUUCGGAAUCACUGGGCUUAAAGCGCGUGUAGGCGGCCAUGCAAGUACUUUGUGAAAUCCCUCGGCUCAACCGGGGGAAUUGCUUGGUAUACUGCAGGGCUUGAGGCGGGUAGGGGUGCUUGGAACUCUAGGUGGAGCGGUGAAAUGCGUAGAUAUCUAGAGGAACGCCUGUGGCGAAAGCGGAGCACUGGGCCCGUCCUGACGCUAAGACGCGAAAGCGUGGGUAGCAAACGGG